CACCCAUCAAAUGACGAGCGAGGCGACGACGCCACAGUUGGCUGCGCUCGCUGGCGUGACGACAUUCCUUCUGAUUUCCGGAAUGGUGCUCCCGGGUUUCAAGGUCAAUCUGGGUCUGAGCGUACGCGACGUCGGCGGCGCCAUUAUGCCGCCGGGCAUGAUCAUGACCUUCGACACGCCGGGGGAAGCUAUGAAGGACAUGGCGGCGGUCAAUCCUCGGCAGGGGGUCUACAAGGCGCCUGCCGACGCUCGAG
rnacentral:misc_RNA from 1 species